AGAUGUGUAUAAGAGACAGGUAUGGGAGUGAGAAUGUUGGCAUGAGUAGCGAGAUGUGGGUGAGAAUCCCACAGGCCGUAAACCCAAGGUUUCCAGGGGAAGGUUCGUCCGCCCUGGGUUAGUCGGGACCUAAGCUGAGGCCGAAAGGCGUAGGUGAUGGACAACAGGUUGAUAUUCCUGUACUACCGAUAACCGUUUGAGAGAAGGGAUGACACAGUAGGAUAAGCUAAGCACACUGUUGGUUAUGUGUGCCCAAGCAUUGAGGCAGUCAAAGUAGGCAAAUCCGCUUUGAUAAUGCUGGGAUGUGAUGGGGAGCGAAAUUUAGUAGCGAAGUAGCUGAUUUCACACUGUCAAGAAAAGUCUCUAUCGAGGUUAAAGGUACCCGUACCGCAAACCGACACAGGUGGGUGAGGAGAGUAUCCUAAGGCCAGCGAGAGAACUGUUGUUAAGGAACUCGGCAAAAUGACCCCGUAACUUAGGGAUAAGGGGUGCCACCAUCAGGUGGCCGCAGAGAAUAGGCCCAAGCGACUGUUUACCAAAAACAUAGGUUUCUGCUAAGUCGCAAGACGAUGUAUAGGAGCUGACGCCUGCCCGGUGCUGGAAGGUUAAGGGGAUCUGUUAGAGCAAUCGAAGCAGUGAACUUAAGCCCCAGUAAACGGCGGCCGUAACUAUAACGGUCCUAAGGUAGCGAAAUUCCUUGUCGGGUAAGUUCCGACCCGCACGAAAGGCGUAACGAUUUGGGCACUGUCUCAACAACAGACUCGGUGAAAUUGUAAUUCCGGUGAAGAUGCCGGAUACCUGCGACAGGACGGAAAGACCCCAUGGAGCUUUACUGUAGCUUGACAUUGGGUCUUGGUACUACAUGUACAGGAUAGGUGGGAGGCUUUGAAACCAGGACGCCAGUUUUGGCGGAGCCAUCCUUGGGAUACCACCCUUGUAGUACUGGGACUCUAACCAUAGGCCAUGAAUCUGGUCUUGGGACACUGUCAGGUGGGCAGUUUGACUGGGGCGGUCGCCUCCCAAAAGGUAACGGAGGCGCUCAAAGGUUCUCUCAGUACGGUCGGAAAUCGUACGUAGAGUGUAAAGGCAAAAGAGAGCUUGAUUGCAAGACAUACAGGUCGAGCAAGGAUGAAAAUCGGACUUAGUGAUCCGGUGGUUCUGCGUGGAAGGGCCAUCGCUCAACGGAUAAAAGCUACCCUGGGGAUAACAGGCUUAUCUCCCCCAAGAGUCCACAUCGACGGGGAGGUUUGGCACCUCGAUGUCGGCUCAUCACAUCCUGGGGCUGUAGUAGGUCCCAAGGGUUGGGCUGUUCGCCCAUUAAAGUGGUACGCGAGCUGGGUUCAGAACGUCGUGAGACAGUUCGGUCCCUAUCCGUCGCAGGCGUAGGAAAUUUGAGAAGACCUGUCCUUAGUACGAGAGGACCGGGAUGGACGUACCUCUGGUGUACCAGUUGU
rnacentral:rRNA from 1 species